CACAUCAGGCUGAAAGUGCUAUAAUAAACAGCAAAAUUAAUUCCAGCAACAUUUUGGGCUUAACAAACCAUUUAUAUGGUUGCUCCUAUUUCUGUAAAGGGCAGCACCAAAGAAAAAGUAUCUUAAGAUGUGUGGAUUCGGUUGUGGCAGCUAUGGCUUUGGACCCUGGGGUGCAUGUGGACCCUGGUCUGGCGGAUGCUUUGGUGGCUGUGGUCCCUGUGGCGGAUGUGGACCAUGUGGUGGAUAUGGACCAUGUGGUGGCUGCGGACCAAGGGGCUGUGGACCUUCCGGUCCAGCCUGUUGGCCCUUCGGUUUAUAUACGUGCUGAGCUUUGGAAAGAAAUUAGGAGCAAUCCCGCAACACAGUGUGUAAUGCCUUAACCAACUUCCCGGAACUAGAUGGGAUUGCGUGUCUACAUGAAUCUUGGAUUAUUGGGUUUUGCUCUGUGGCAAGGCAACAAAACAACAAACAACAAGAUUACUCUUUAUAUGGGCACAUGCCAUAUGGAUCGAUGCUACAGAUUACAUUCUAACCAAUUCUGUAACUAUGACGUAAAAGCAACACCAAUAAAAUCGUAUCGUCUUAAAGCAA